GACGUAGGGCGCGAGCGUUGUCCGGAUUUAUUGGGCGUAAAGAGCUCGUAGGCGGCUUGUUGCGUCGACUGUGAAAACCCGCGGCUUAACUGCGGGCUUGCAGUUGAUACGGGCAGGCUAGAGUUCGGUAGGGGAGACUGGAAUUCCUGGUGUAGCGGUGAAAUGCGCAGAUAUCAGGAGGAACACCGGUGGCGAAGGCGGGUCUCUGGGCCGUAACUGACGCUGAGGAGCGAAAGCGUGGGGAGCGAACAGG
rnacentral:rRNA from 1 species